GACAGAGGAUGCAAGCGCUAUCCGGAAUGAUUGGGCGUAAAGCGUCUGUAGGUGGCUUUUUAAGUCCGCCGUCAAAUCCCAGGGCUCAACCCUGGACAGGCGGUGGAAACUACCAAGCUGGAGUACGGUAGGGGCAGAGGGAAUUUCCGGUGGAGCGGUGAAAUGCGCAGAUAUCAGGAGGAACACCGAUGGCGAAGGCAGGUCUCUGGGCAUUAACUGACGCUGAGGAGCGAAAGCAUGGGGGAGCGAACAGG
rnacentral:rRNA from 1 species